AGAGUUUGAUCAUGGCUCAGGACGAACGCUGGCGGCGUGCUUAACACAUGCAAGUCGAACGAUGAAGCCAGCUUGCUGGUGGAUUAGUGGCGGACGGGUGAGUAACACGUGGGUGAUCUGCCCUGUACUUUGGGAUAAGCCUGGGAAACUGGGUCUAAUACCGAAUAUUACCUUCUCCUGCAUGGGGGUUGGUGGAAAGCUCCGGCGGUAUGGGAUGGGCCCGCGGCCUAUCAGCUUGUUGGUGGGGUAAUGGCCUACCAAGGCGACGACGGGUAGCCGGCCUGAGAGGGCGACCGGCCACACUGGGACUGAGACACGGCCCAGACUCCUACGGGAGGCAGCAGUGGGGAAUAUUGCACAAUGGGCGCAAGCCUGAUGCAGCGACGCCGCGUGAGGGAUGACGGCCUUCGGGUUGUAAACCUCUUUCACCAGGGACGAAGCGAAAGUGACGGUACCUGGAGAAGAAGCACCGGCCAACUACGUGCCAGCAGCCGCGGUAAUACGUAGGGUGCGAGCGUUGUCCGGAAUUACUGGGCGNNAAAGAGCUCGUAGGCGGUUUGUCGCGUCGUUCGUGAAAACUUGGGGGCUUAACUCCAAGCGUGCGGGCGAUACGGGCAGACUUGAGUACUACAGGGGAGACUGGAAUUCCUGGUGUAGCGGUGAAAUGCGCGAUAUCAGGAGGAACACCGGUGGCGAAGGCGGGUCUCUGGGUAGUAACUGACGCUGAGGAGCGAAAGCGUGGGUAGCGAACAGGAUUAGAUACCCUAGUAGUCC
rnacentral:rRNA from 1 species